rnacentral:lncRNA from 1 species
GAGAAUCAUCAAAAGGUCUCCUCCCUUUCCCAGCUCAGGCUUUGCUGAAGGGUAAAAAUGUUUUCUGCUGCUUCAAGGAAAACCUUUUUCUCUUCUCUCAAUAUUUUCCCAAGCAGAGUAAUAAACAGAUUACUAGAGGACACUUGAAUCUCCCAUGUUCAUCACUACCUUUGAAUGGAUUGUACCUCAUGCCAGGAAUAUGCUUCUUUCUCAUCUAUGUUUCUACUACUUACUAGUUUUCUGAAAAGCUGAAGUCAAAUGCCAUCUCUGCCAUGACCAUUUUUCUGUUAUCCUCACCCCUGCCAACUCUAAGUUAAGGCUUUCCCCUGUCCUUCAAAUUACAUUUUUUUUUAAUUUUGGAUAAAUUAAUAAUUAAAAAAUCAUUUCAUAAAAUACUUUUAUUGCUUGGUCAUUUUAGUAUUAUCUGACAUUAUGAUCUCCUUUGUUUUUUGUUUUUUUUUUUUGGCAAAUAUAGUACAAUGGUUAGCCAGUUCCUUUUCCAGUUCAUUUCAUAAAUGGUGACUAGCAAGUGGAUGUUAAAUAUUUUGUUUCAUCAACUUUUGAGGAUCUAGAAUAGAACUAUAAGAUAUAAAAUUAAUAUGUCCUUUCAGGAAUUGUGGUCCAUAGGCAAAAAAAAGAAAAAAAAAAGAAAAAGGCUGAGAAAAUGAGCAAAGAAUAAAGAAACAUCUAACCAUAGAAAAUUUCUAUAG